GACAGGGUCUCCCUCUGUCUCCCAGGCUGGAGUGCAGUGGCUAGAGCUCGCUGUUACUUCAAACUCCUGGGCUCAAGUGUGUGCCACCAUGCUCUGCACCCAGGCUGGAGUGCAAUGGCGCCAUCUCUGCUCACUGCAACCUCCGCCUCCUGGGUUCAAGCGAUUCUCCUGCCUCAGCCUCCUGAGUAGCUGGGAUUAAAGCUGCCUGCCACCUGCACAGACGGGAUCUCGCUAUGUCACCGGGCGCCAUGGCUCAAGCCUGUAAUCCCAGCACUUUGGAAGUCCGAGGCGGGCGGAUCACGAGGCCAGGAGUUCAAGACCAGCCUGGCCAAUAUGGUGAAACCCCGUCUCUACUAAAAAUACAAAAAUUAGCCGGGUGUAGUGGCGGGUGCCUGUAAUCUUAGCUACUCGGGAGGCUGAGGCAGAGGUUGCAGUGAGCCCAGAUCGUGCCACUGGACUCCAGCCUGGGCGACAGAGUGAGACUCUGGAUAAAAAAAAAAUUAAUGAAAGGAAAAAGGCAAGGAGGAAUCCCAACGAUGACAGGUUGAAAGCUGCAGAGGAGACUGAUGGGGAGUGACCUGUGAGGUAGCAGGACCAGGUGAACUGGAAUCCCCAGGUCCAGAUAAGUGAGGGUUUCCAGGAGGAGGAGUGGUCGACUCAGCUGCUGCUGAGAAGCUCAGCGAGACCAAGAAGUGACCCCCGGAUUGGGCAGCGGAGAGGUUGUAGGUUACCUUAGCAGCAGUUAAGGGGUGGGGACACAGCCCUGCUGGAUGGGGUGAUGAGAGGCUGGGACGGGAAGGGGUGGAGGAGGUGAGUGUAGGGAAGUCUACAGAAAUGUCUGAAGGGAGGGAGAAAUGGCCAGAGGCAGGAGAGGGUUUGGGGGCAGGAGUCGGUCCAGAGUGAGGCUGAUGGCACAGAAAAGCCUCGAGGGGAGGGCAGCGGGAUGGGGUCCUAGGCCUGAGGAGGACGUGAGUACCCGACAGGGAAGUUUGUCUGUUUGGGUACUGGGAGAGGAGAAAGAUCCUGAAGGCUUUCGUUUUUCUCUGAAGAAUGAGGUUGAUCCUUCUAGUCUCGUGGCAGAACUUUGUAGACACCAAGCGAGCGGGGCAGCGUGUUCUGGACCUCAUUCCUCACACAGGGCUCACCUCCGGAUGAGUCAGAGGCCUUAGCCGGUGGCCCAGCCCCGGGAAUGCCACCCCGGUUCUGUACCCUGCCCAGGCCAGCUGACAGGGUGUAUUGGGGCACACACCUGCAGCAUCCAGGGCACUCCAAGGAGAGGGACGUACUUUUGAGGAGAGUCUAAAAGUCUAAGUCCCCCACCUGAACUUGGUGGGGGAAGGGCUUCUAUACCAGGAGGGCUCCCAGCCCUGUUUCUUAAAGGCCAUUUAGGCAGAAGUGAACGUGGUCUCUUCAAUAAAGUUAAUAAUGGUUCAUGCUGCAGAAAAUGUUCAAGACAAAACCCUGCUUAUUUACUCAGGCUUUAAAACCAUAAAACUCCCAAAUUCUCCCUGUAGCUAUUUAUAUCCAGAGCUAGUCCCCAAAUUAAGCUCAGGUUUGAAGUAACUUAAAAGAAAAAUAGCCUUCCCUGCUUUAAAAAGAUUUUCCGUAUAGACCUCCACUGGUCUAAUUACGAAGGGCGCGUAGUUUCAGGGUUGGCUGGGGGUAGGGCACCGGGACCUCCAAGGCAGUUACACUCCUCAGCCUCCUAACAGCUGUACGGCUGCCCGGUGGUCCCUCUCCAAGGCAGCGGCUCUCAGGCUAGCCUCAGCCUACCCCACCCGCCCGCACCCCGUGUUCUCCCUCGUGGGGGUGCCGGGGGGAGUAGGGAGGCGGGGCGGGCGGCAGGUCCGGAAAAGUGGCUGCCCUCGCCCCGAAAGAAGUUGACCCUCCUCCCGUGCCGAGAGCUUGGGAUGAAAAUAGCUUCUUCCUCUUUACCCUUCCUGGACCCCCGCCCCAGGACGACUGGGCCCCUUCAUUCAUCUUUCAGCGGCCACCCAGGCGGCUUGGGCGUCCCCACGCCGGGACUCUGUGCCCCGGGGACCCACGGGGACCCUCCCUUGGGCCUCUGAAGCCGCGGCGCACCCCGCACCCAAGCCACCCCGGGGGCCCCGGCCUCCCCCACCCAAUUAGCGGGCAGCACCGCAGACCCGAGUCCCCACGCAGCUCGCGCCAGGGGAGGCGGCCGCCUGGGAAGCCCGUCCCCCGCGCCGCGGCCCCCGCCCCCGCCAGCCCCGCGUCCCCUGGGAAAGGCGGGGGCGCAGCGAGUUUCCCCCAAUUAGUUUCCUCUUUGUAUGGAGUCUUAGCGCGCCCGUACUCCUCCGCGCAGCGGAAAGUAGUCCCGGCCGGGCGCUCCGCGGCUUCCCAGCGCCAGACACAUUUUACUUUGAGAAGUCGACGGGACUCUCAGCGGGGUCCUUCAGAUGGGGGGCCAGAGGCUGCGGGAGGCGUGCGCGGGCAGCAAGGGCAGGGGCCGCGGCCAAGGGUAGGGGGCGGGGAGGGCCGCGAACUCCUCGCCGCUGCCUGGAGAGAUGGAUCAUGGGGCGUAGGGAGAUGGCAAACCUCAAACCACGUACGGCGGGCGAUACGCGUCAACCGAACCUCGCCAACGGAAGCCC
rnacentral:lncRNA from 1 species